UUCCUUGCCAGAUUCUCUUUUAUGGUAUUGUGAUUAUUGAAUCUUUCUUCGGUAUGUUUGGUUGUUUCUAUUUUUUAUUUAAUUCUGUUUCAUUUAGGUUUGAUUUUGUAUUGAUCAUAGAUCAGAUGUUAUCUUCCACUGCUUCAACUGAAUCAAGAUGAGAGGAGCAGGUGGUGCAUUGCCAACUGUUGAGGCCAGGCAUCGGUUGGCGGGACCGCCGUAAGCAUCUUUCUUAUAUUUUUUCACAUUCGAUCUUUCUCCUAAUUUUGUGCCAUUUAGAGUCCAACUGUACUAGAAGAUGGCUGAUGCUGAGGAUAUUCAACCUCUUGUGUGCGAUAAUGGAACUGGAAUGGUUAAGUUCAAAAGGAUGAAGAGUUUGAUGGAAAUGUUUCGAAUAGAGUUAAACAGUUGGAUGGGUGGGUGAGGAGGAGAUGUGCCUCUAUAGUGUUGGGGUUGCAUGCGAAUGAAACAUGAAGGUGGGUUGCACCGGGCGACAUGGUCGAGAAGACUGUUGAGAAGAGGCAGAAGAGGG